ACUGCACCAUCAUUGUUUUCGUUUUAUCUCCCUACUUGCUGUCUGUUACUGCACCAAAGAGGAAACUCACCGCAUAUCCCAGAAGCGGGGAUCAUACCGCUGCAAGCUAUUCACACCAGAGCUGGAUUAAGCUCUACAAAAAGUGAGUAAGAUCUCUUCUAUUUUUUUUAUCUCUUGGAUCAACCUGUACCAUCACCCUUUUCAUCACUCAUCGCCCUCUUCCAUACAUUCGAAACCUGCAAGGAGCAGAACCCUACAACUCCAGAGACCAACCUAGGAUCCAAGUUCCACUAUACUGGACUCCGUUGUAUUAUUACUACCCCUACCAGGACUUUAAAUUUAAUUUACCUUGCCUAUUGGCGCAGUCCCGUCCUUUUGUUUGUUUGCCAAUCCCUCCCCUGUGCCUGGGAGAUAAUCGAGUGAGCACUCUAUUAAACUUAAUUAUCUCCAGGCAUAAAAAACACAUUUAAAAAAAAAAUACCUUAAAACACACAAAAUCCCUACAAAAGUUACAUCCCCUGAUAGCCCUGAUCUGGGUGACCACCAUAUCCAAAAAUCACCCAGAUUAGGUCAGGGGUUCAGGAACUUCCUUGAAGUCAUAAUUUGACCUAGAGCCCGCAUGGUCCCAUGCCCAAAACAGUUCCAGAGAAUCAGGGCUUGCGAUCGUUCUAGUUCGGUAGUUUAAAAAUGAACAAACUACCAAACAGAGUCAAUAGUCUUGCCCUGGAGCUUGAUCCCCUUGUUCGUGGGAACGUUUUCACUGAACAGCGCCUUUCUGUAGUGUUGUAGAACCGAACGCAGGCGAUGCUGGAAGUCCAGUGGUGUUUGGGGGUUUCUGUGUCCAUUUUCAGUUCCAUGAGAUUCAUGCCCAAACACCGAUGCCUGCUUUCAUGCGAACAAGAUGGCCGCCACCUUGUGGUCAUCCAUAGAAAUUGCGGCCACCCAGACGAACACUUAGAACACUGCAGUGGAAAUUGCGACAAAGUAUCAAUUAGGCUUAACAAGCUCGAGGGUGGUCUCCAGAUUGUGCGGCUGUUCGGUUUCCGAACCAAAUAUAAAAUCCCACGAACCAAGUCUGUUCACAUAGUUUUUAAAGGGCCCAUAGUCUUUUGGUAAGAGGCUGGCCAGCAGGUCCCUGCAAGCACAAGUGACGAGGCUCAGUUCGUCACAUAUAGCUCCAACUUAUUCCGCAGCGAUUUAAAAUAUUAUAAAGGGGAAAAUUUUACAGUAAAUUAGACAAUUGCAAAAUGUUACAGUAUUAAUAGUUUAAUGAGGUCCCUGCUCGAAAGAUCAUACAAUUAUAUGUCAGCCUUUUAGAAGUAGUAGUGGAUAGACAUGUGCAAUUCGUUUUAGUUCUGAAUGUCAAUUCGGACGAAUUUCAGGCAAUUCGGACGUUCAGAGACUUCCAAAUGUCGAAUAGCUGAAUUUCCGAAAUUCCAAAGGGGAAGAAUGAAGAAUGUUACACUGUAUACCAGUUUAAAUAAAAAGUAUACAAACAUAGCCAGGAUUCAGCUGUAAGCAUUUGCAACACUUACAACAUUCAAGUAACACACAUUCAUAUAAAAUGUAAGUUACUUCCAUUACAGUCAAUGGAUGGGGAUGAGUAAGUAGAUAACUCCCUAAUUCCCACUGUAUUAGGGAGCUAUCUACCAAAAGGCUGAAAGACCUAAAUUGGUCUUUCAGCCAAAUUUACUAAUACUAAGUAAAAAUGACUUAGUAUUAGUAAAUAAUCUGCCCCUAUUCGCUAUACCGCGAGUAGGGGCAUGUGUAUUAAACAGUGAGCAGCCUGUGGCUGCUCACUGUUUAAAAAAAAAAAAGUGUCCCCCCCUCCCGAGCCCCCACCCAUGAUGCGCGAGUGGGGGCUUUGGGGCUUUUAAACUAAAGGGGGGACCUAUUGUCCCCCCCCGGCCCCCACCCCUGAGCGGCAGGUGGUGGCCCUAAAGUAAAAUAAGGGGGGGGGCCUAUUGUUCUCCCCCCCAGCCCCCACCCCUGAACAGCGGGUGGGAGCCCUAAAGAAGAAUAAGGGGGGGGACCUAUUGUCCUCCCACUGGCCCCCACCCGUGAGUGGUGGGUGGGGACCCUAAAAUACUUCAAGGGGGGGGACCUAUUGUCCUCCCCCCGGCCCCCACCCCUGAGCGGCGGGUUGAGGCCCUAAAGUGAAAUAAGGGAGGGAUGGGGGACCCAGGCUGCUCACUGUUAAAUAGACAUGCCCCUACUUGCGGUAUAGCGAGUACGGGCAGAAUGUACUAAUACUAAGUAAUUUUUACUUAGUAUUAGUAAAUUUGUCUGAAAGACCAAUUUAGGUCUUUCAUCCUUUUGGUAGAUACCGUGGGAAUUAGGGAGUUAUCUACUAAGCAGCUGAAAAGAACAUCCGAAGUCCCGUAUUUCGGCAUGCCGAACCGAACUGAAUAUUUUCCCCAUGCACAUCCCUAGUAGUGGAUACCGCCAACUCUUGCCCGCCAUACCCGGUUUUAUUUAUUCAAGGGUUGGUAUGUCAUAAUAUAAUAAACAAGGUUCUAAAAGUAAAUAAUUUAGCAGGAAAAUGUCACUGGUUUCCAUGGUGAUUGAUUUACCUUGUCCUGAAGUUAUCUGAUUUAUAUAAAUUAUCCCAAAUGUCUCUUCUUUUUGAAAUAUAACUGCUUACAUUUUUGUGGUUACACAGUGCUUACUAGGAUCUUGGAUAUGUUUUUUUGUUGUUGUUGUGAAGAGCAUAUACUGAUGAAAAUAAAAGGAGUGGGGGGGGGACAGAGGGGGGAGAGGUUGUUGUUCUAGAUUUUUUUUUUUGUUUCUCUGGUUUUUGCAAACUAAUAUCCAGAGUUCUGAAGAAAUGUUUAUUAAAAAAAACAACAUGCUUAUGUUUCAGCAGAUUUUAAUUUCCGGUUGCCUCUUAAUUAGCCUGCAACGGGUGGAGAAUACCCAUGGGUGUCAGCUGUUUGGAUUUUUUAUACAGAAGAAAAGGUCUUUUGAAUGCAAAAUGAGCCACUGAUCUAAUCAAAGGCAUCUGGGGAUGAGAACAUUGGUUUGAACUGUGGCAAAUUUCUUGGUUUGCUACGUAAUCUAUGACCCCCCCAAUCUGAGUUCCUGAUACCAGCCGAGGGACACCAGUAGCUGGUUAGGGAAAACAAACUGUAACUUGCCAUGGCCUUGUGUUUAUUAGCGGUUAUGUAUUCUACUGCUGCUCCUUUGAUUAAAAUCUGAG